CUCUCCCCAUUGAAUAUAAUGGAAAAGUGGGGCACUUGGUUUUGGAGCAUCAAUCCUUUAUGUACAUGAAGCUUAGAUGCAAGUCCUGUGCUUAAAUUAUGCAGGCUGAAUGUGCACUGCUGAGGGGUCAGAAGACAGUUCCUGCCGCCCUUGUACUACAGGAGAAACCUGCAUCAGAAGUUUGUUACUGGUUGUGUACUCUUCCAUGCUGCUAAGUGUUCACGGACCCAGGUCAAGUCUACUGAUCCAACAAUUUCUAGUAACAUUGCGAAAAAUCUGCAUAACAAAAAACAAGUACCACCUUUUUAUUUCAAUAAAAAUAAAACUUUCUGUAAUUUCACUGAAUAAAAUUAUGCCUUUCCUCUACACAAAUAUCCUCCUACAAUCCUAAAAAUAUCGACUAUGAGCAGAAAACCAGCUAACUGUGAAAAGCAAUCAGAUCUUUGCACAUUUUAAAAUUAUUUCCUAUGCAAGUUACCUCACAAACCAUACUCCAGGGAUGCAGUCUGAGGCACCAGAGCCCAAGAUAAGUUCACUGCAGGUUAAAACUUUUGCAAUUCCAAUGAUAAAUUACAACUGGAAAUAAAAGAGGCCAGUGCUGAUCUCUGAAUUGUGAAAUUACUCAGGUGAGGCUACUCUCCCUCAUUAAUAGGAAAAGACAUAAUCUCUACCAUAGUCUUACGCUGCUUUCCCCAGCAGUAAGUAUCACCUCUGCCCUAUUUAAAUUAAAUCUCAGCUAGUCAUCAAGGUCUCACUCAAGCCCUUUUGUCAAUCAGGCACUGGGAAAACCAGAACACUGGCACCAUCUGAGUCAGAUUAAAAAGGAGAUCUAGAGAUAUGUGCCAUUGAUGUCUCAAGCUGCCUGUAUCCCCAGGUAGCUUCACAUACUUACUACACCUAUAGGAUCUGUAAGCAAGCAACUACAUCCACAUGGGGAAGCAGGACUUGCAUGUGAGUACCCCAUGAUUCAAGGCAAAAGAGAAAAAGCAAAACCAAACAAGUGUUGCAAGCCCACUACAUUUUUAGCGAAGCCAGAAGGAAAGAUUUUUUCCUUACAGGAUAUUUAACGAAAAAUACCUUCACUUUACCUGUUUAUAGGAGCUGAAAAUUCAUCCCAUAAUAAGUCCAAUUUCUAAAUUAUAGUCAUAAUUUGUGAAUCUAUAGGUACCAAGACAAUGUGAGGCUUUUCAGGAGUACCAGAAUUACCUUUUCUGUAUCCUCUGACAGCAGGGUAAGGUCAGAAGCACAAUAUGUCACAACCAUUUUUUGCCCUACACAUUGCAACUGCGAUUGCAUCUCACAAAUUACUAGAAAGCCCAGUAUAAUACCUUGAUUUAGAAUAACGGGGGGG